GACGUAGGGCGCGAGCGUUGUCCGGAUUUAUUGGGCGUAAAGCGCGUGUAGGCGGCUGGGUAGGUCCGCUGUGAAAACUUGAGGCUCAACCUCAAGAGGUCGGUGGAAACCAUCCAGCUAGAGUCCGGAAGAGGAGAAUGGAAUUCCUGGUGUAGCGGUGAAAUGCGCAGAUAUCAGGAAGAACACCCGUGGCGAAGGCGGUUCUCUGGGACGGUACUGACGCUGAGACGCGAAAGCGUGGGGAGCGAACAGG
rnacentral:rRNA from 1 species